UCGAAGUUGAGUCCGAUGAGCUUAUCGCUGUCCAAUAGCGUAUGAAGAGAUAAUGUGUUGGCCAUAACUGAAAAAAAAUAUAUAAGCCUAUUAGUAUAUGAAUUACUUUUUAAUCCCAAAGAUAUAGAUUUUAAUCUAAAUAUUUUUCUACUAUUUUAACGAAUUGAUAACCUCUACCUCCAACUCGAGAAAUUAUAUUAAUUUCUUAGCAGAUACUAAAAUCCACAC
rnacentral:lncRNA from 1 species